AACGAACGCUGGCGGCAUGCCUAACACAUGCAAGUCGAACGAGACCUUCGGGUCUAGUGGCGCACGGGUGCGUAACGCGUGGGAACCUGCCCUUAGGUUCGGAAUAACUCCCCGAAAGGGGUGCUAAUACCGGAUAAUGUCUUCGGACCAAGGAUUUAUCGCCUUUGGAUGGGCCCGCGUUGGAUUAGCUAGUUGGUAGGGUAAAAGCCUCCCAAGGCGACGAUCCAUAGCUGGUCUGAGAGGAUGAUCAGCCACACUGGGACUGAGACACGGCCCAGACUCCUACGGGAGGCAGCAGUGUGGAAUAUUGGACAAGGGGCGAAAGCCUGAUCCAGCAAUGCCGCGUGAGUGAUGAAGGCCUUAGGGUUGUAAAGCUCUUUUACCCGGGAUGAUAAUGACAGUACCGGGAGAAUAAGCUCCGGCUAACUCCGUG
rnacentral:rRNA from 1 species